UGUUUCUCCUCCUUUAUUCUUUUGCGUUUGUCCAUAUUUUGUUUCACGUCAAUAUUCUAUUUUUUCCCUUUUUUGUCUAAUUAUUUGUGGUUUGAUUUUUACGACAGUCUAACGACGGUACUGAAGGUUACAACGCUUUGCCCAUGGAAGAGUUGGGAUAGGCUAUUGAAGAAUAAAGGCUAACGAUGGUGUUGAAGGUUACAGUUUCUGGAUUCUCGUAAUACAAAAGUUUGCAUUUUUUUUUGUUGCUAAGGCUUCUCCAACGUGCUCAUUGCUUCCUAUGCCCAUUUUUUGUGUUGUGUAAUGGUUCAAUAUAUUUUUUAGCAUGUUGUAUGCACAGAAGGCGGAAGAACAUAUUAAAGCUGCGAUUUUUAUCUCAAAAACUUCAUGAGUACAGAGAAGUUGGAAGAACACAUUAAAGAUGUCAUUUUUAUCUCAAAAACUCCAUGACUACAGAGAAGGUGAAAGAACAUUAAAGUUGCGAUUUUUAUCCCAAAAACUUCAUGAGUGUAGGUUCGUAAACAUAAAAACUUUACUUUUUUUGGGUGUGCUGCCUUUAUUUUGUUUUCUACAUGGGUACAGGUUCGUAACGACAGUG